UACGUAGGGUGCAAGCGUUAAUCGGAAUUACUGGGCGUAAAGCGUGCGUAGGCGGUUAGUUAAGUCUGUCGUGAAAUCCCCGGGCUCAACCUGGGAAUGGCGAUGGAUACUGGCUCGCUAGAGUGUGAUAGAGGAUGGUGGAAUUCCCGGUGUAGCGGUGAAAUGCGUAGAGAUCGGGAGGAACAUCAGUGGCGAAGGCGGCCAUCUGGAUCAACACUGACGCUGAGGCACGAAAGCGUGGGGAGCAAACAGG
rnacentral:rRNA from 1 species